UACGUAGGGUGCAAGCGUUAAUCGGAAUUACUGGGCGUAAAGCGUGCGCAGGCGGUUAUGUAAGACAGGUGUGAAAUCCCCGGGCUUAACCUGGGAACUGCAUUUGUGACUGCAUAGCUAGAGUACGGUAGAGGGGGAUGGAAUUCCGCGUGUAGCAGUGAAAUGCGUAGAUAUGCGGAGGAACACCGAUGGCGAAGGCAAUCCCUGGACCUGUACUGACGCUCAUGCACGAAAGGCGUGGGAG
rnacentral:rRNA from 1 species